rnacentral:rRNA from 1 species
UACAGAGGUCCCGAGCGUUGUUCGGAUUCAUUGGGCGUCCAGGGUGCGUAGGCGGCGGGGUAAGUCUGAUGUGAAAUCCUGGGGCUCAACCCCAGAACUGCAUUGGAUACUGCCUUGCUAGAGUACUGGAGAGGAAACUGGAAUCUACGGUGUAGCAGUGAAAUGCGUAGAGAUCGUAAGGAAGACCAGUGGCGAAGGCGAAUCUCUGGACAGUUACUGACACUGAGGCACGAAGGCCAGGGGAGCAAACGGG